GAUGAACGCUGGCGGCGUGCCUAAUACAUGCAAGUCGAGCGAACGGACGAGAAGCUUGCUUCUCUGAUGUUAGCGGCGGACGGGUGAGUAACACGUGGAUAACCUACCUAUAAGACUGGGAUAACUUCGGGAAACCGGAGCUAAUACCGGAUAAUAUUUUGAACCGCAUGGUUCAAAAGUGAAAGACGGUCUUGCUGUCACUUAUAGAUGGAUCCGCGCUGCAUUAGCUAGUUGGUAAGGUAACGGCUUACCAAGGCAACGAUGCAUAGCCGACCUGAGAGGGUGAGCGGCCACACUGGAACUGAGACACGGUCCAGACGCCUACGGGAGGCAGCAGUAGGGAAUCUUCCGCAAGGGGCGAAAGCCUGACGGAGCAACGCCGCGUGAGUGAUGAAGGUCUUCGGAUCGUAAAACUCUGUUAUGAGGGAAGAACAUAUGUGUAAGUAACUGUGCACAUCUUGACGGUACCUAAUCAGAAAGCCACGGCUAACUACGUG
rnacentral:rRNA from 1 species